rnacentral:rRNA from 1 species
UACGUAGGGUGCGAGCGUUUAAUCGGAAUUACUGGGCGUAAAGUGUGCGCAGGCGGCUUCGCAAGUCGAGUGUGAAAUCCCCGAGCUUAACUUGGGAAUUGCGCUCGAAACUACGGAGCUGGAGUGUGGCAGAGGAAGGUGGAAUUCCACGUGUAGCGGUGAAAUGCGUAGAGAUGUGGAGGAACACCGAUGGCGAAGGCAGAUCUCUGGGCCGUAACUGACGCUGAGGAGCGAAAGCCAGGGGAGCAAACGGGG